rnacentral:ncRNA from 1 species
GGAUAGAGGCGCGAGGUUUAAGAGUACUUUCGGGUCACGAGGCCGUUUGCCGGAGGGAAAGGAAGCAUCGCCGAAGCGUUCGGGUUUGGCCUGAAGCCCGGAUGGCUGGGUCGCCGUGAAAUACGCGGCGGACUGUCACAUGUUUUUGUGAAGCGCUAUCA